GCUUUAAAAACGGCAGUGUUCCCUACUCUCUCUCUUCCCUGUCACCAUGUGCAGCAGCUAUUUUGGAAACAUGAAGCAGUAAGCACGAGGAUGGAGGCCUAAAAUACAAGGCUUGUGGUGCAGAAAGAAGAGCAGAGCUGGAGCCCUGCUGUCAGUUAAGUCUCUGAGCUGUUGCUAAGACUGCUGAACCCCAGACUGCUGCUUGCAUAAGACCAAUACGUAUACAUUCUUGUCUAUUUAAGGCCCUAGAAGUCAGGUUUUCUGUUAUUUGUAGCAGAAUACAUUUCUAACUGAUACAAAUAGCUUCCGUAACAAUGGGCUAGUGAAUGCAUAUACAUUUCUCCUUUUUGAAAUGGGCACUAGAUUUUAUGUGAAAACAGAGGAUGUAUGAGCAGAUAAUGAAAACAAUAUACAGUCUAGUUCUCUGUAGAAUUGGCCUUUCUAGCUACAGCUUUGUCUUAAAUUAUGGCAUCUAGUCUCCUAUAUCUUUUGUUUCUUAAAAAAUUUAAACUGAAGCAAUCUAUUGUGAGGAAGCAGAUGGGCCACUUGUGUCUCUAGAUCUGGCUGGGCUUAGUUCUGCUCUUACUUGGCCUGAUUUCUUGUCCUGGCUUUUUUUUUUUUCUUGGUCACACCCUCCAGUUUCUUCCUGGCUCUAUUUGUCAUACAAAUCAAAUACUACUCUCUCUGUAACUGUGAUUUCAGAGCAGUUCUUGCUCCAUCAUUUUGGCCAAAAGUGAUUUGAUCUAAAGCUGUGAAAAUGACCAGAGAGAGACCAUCUGCAGUACUAUUUGCUUGUUCCUGGCCCUUCAGAAAAAAGUUCUUGAUCAAUGCAUCCCAAGUCUAGGCUGAAUAACUCCUUUCUGGAAUAGAACCCAUCAGCCAGCUGAAGGCAGUGCAUAUGAAACUCCAGUCCUCCAGCCAGCCAGCCUAGAGCCCUCUCAGUCAUUGAUUUACUUCAUUUCCUGACACGAGGGGGCACCUGAAAUUGGGCACCCUGCUUCAGCUGAGGCGAGUAGAAGAGGGCAUUUGUUGUCUCCUCUGCUUCUCAGCUCGUGAAUGCUGCUGCUCACUCCCUCUUCAGAAGUCAGGCGGCCUCUUCUCUGGGGAGCAUCCCUCCCUUACACACUUUGCAAAGUGCUAAGCUAACUCGAAGCACUCAAAAAUCAGAAGCAAAUCCAUUUGCUAAACCCAAGCAAAUGGAAAGGCAGGUUGGGGCUCUUGUUUACGAAUCAGGCAAAAUAUGGAGUUGAACUAUCCAAGUGUGGUUGCCGUUUGUCACUGAGCACUCUUCUUAUUUAAUGGAAAUGUUACAUUGUUGGGAGAGUUUUAGAGAGAGGUAGGUCCCAGAGACCCUUGAUAAAACCAAAGAGAGGGGCAGAUACAUCUUAUUCUUUACUCUUUAUUUGCUUGGAAAAUAAGAUGCUUGCAUUAAGAUUUGGCAUUUUCAGGGAGUCAUGCAAGGAUGCAGGGUCUGCUGGAGGUUAGUUGCAGAAGGCAGAGCCGUGUGGCAUUGGCUCUGCUGGUGAUGACCUCAUAACACCCUGCGUGGGAACUUGGCUGUGCUCAUGGCAGCCCAGCUUCCCAUUCUCUGCCUGUUUUCAAAGCCUAGAUCUUUAGUCUUGCAAACAAUUCCAAAAGUGUGCAUAUCCUUUCAAUAUACCCCCUUUGGUACAGACUACUACCUUUUCUGGCACACCAAAGAAAAAUUAAAUUCCCUCCUCCCUCCUGCCCCAGUCCUCUAGAGCAAAAUCAUGAGAAACUGGCCUGCUGUUCCAUUUCAGCCAUCAUCUUACCUGAGAUGGACACUGGUUCAUUUCUCAUGUGAUAGGAAUGUCAGUACUCCUUCAGCCCCAUCAUGAUCUGAAUUAAGUGCAGGUUUGUUUUCUUUAAUGCGUUUGAGGGAGGAGUUUGAAGGAGGUGACCAGUUACUGAUGUUUUUACCACACAAGUAAUACAUGAAUGCAUGCUUCUCAUGAAAGACUCCAACAAGGCAGGAAUAUUCAGGGGAAAACAUGAUAGACUCGUCCACUGCAGGCCCCCAUCACUCUUGCUUUACUCCAAGGGGCAAGCACUAUGAACACUGCUUUGCAUUUGUAUAGUCUGUACACAUUUAAAACACAUAAAUGGGAAUACUAUGAAUUUUGCUUUGUGACUUGUUUUUUCAAUGAACAAUUUGGGAUAACUUUCCAUAAAGGUUCAAUAUAUU
rnacentral:lncRNA from 1 species